rnacentral:rRNA from 1 species
AUUGAACGCUGGCGGCAUGCCUUACACAUGCAAGUCGAACGGUAACAGGCCGCAAGGUGCUGACAAGUGGCGAACGGGUGAGUAAUGCAUCGGAACGUGCCCAGUCGUGGGGGAUAACUGCUCGAAAGAGCAGCUAAUACCGCAUACGACCUGAGGGUGAAAGCGGGGGACCGUAAGGCCUCGCGCGAUUGGAGCGGCCGAUGUCAGAUUAGCUAGUUGGUGGGGUAAAGGCCUACCAAGGCAACGAUCUGUAGUUGGUCUGAGAGGACGACCAGCCACACUGGGACUGAGACACGGCCCAGACUCCUACGGGAGGCAGCAGUGGGGAAUUUUGGACAAUGGGCGCAAGCCUGAUCCAGCAAUGCCGCGUGCAGGAAGAAGGCCUUCGGGUUGUAACCUGCUUUUGUCAGGGAAGAAAUCUUCUGGGCUAAUACCCCGGGAGGAUGACGGUACCUGAAGAAUAAGCACCGGCUAACUACGUGCCAGCCGCCGCGGUAAAAC